rnacentral:rRNA from 1 species
UGGGGAAUAUUUGACAAUGGGCGCAAGCCUGAUCCAGCCAUGCCGCGUGAGUGAUGAAGGCCCUAGGGUUGUAAAGCUCUUUCACCGGUGAAGAUAAUGACGGUAACCGGAGAAGAAGCCCCGGCUAACUUCGUGCCAGCAGCCGCGGUAAUACGAAGGGGGCUAGCGUUGUUCGGAUUUACUGGGCGUAAAGCGCACGUAGGCGGACUUUUAAGUCAGGGGUGAAAUCCCGGGGCUCAACCCCGGAACUGCCUUUGAUACUGGAAGUCUUGAGUAUGGUAGAGGUGAGUGGAAUUCCGAGUGUAGAGGUGAAAUUCGUAGAUAUUCGGAGGAACACCAGUGGCGAAGGCGGCUCACUGGACCAUUACUGACGCUGGGGUGCGAAAGCGUGGGGAGCAAACAGG